AAUGAUUAAUUGGGUGGCUUUCCCAGGACAAGGCUUAUCCAUUGCACUCCGGAUGUGCUGACCUCUGCGAUUUUCCCAAAUGUGGG